rnacentral:rRNA from 1 species
UACGGGGGAGCAAGCGUUGUUCGGAAUUACUGGGCGUAAAGGGCUCGUAGGCGGCCAACUAAGUCAGACGUGAAAUCCCUCGGCUUAACCGGGGAACUGCGUCUGAUACUGGAUGGCUUGAGGUUGGGAGAGGGAUGCGGAAUUCCAGGUGUAGCGGUGAAAUGCGUAGAUAUCUGGAGGAACACCGGUGGCGAAGGCGGCAUCCUGGACCAAUUUCUGACGCUGAGGAGCGAAAGCCAGGGGAAGCCAAACGGGG